rnacentral:rRNA from 1 species
CCCUUAGAUGUCCUGGGCCGCACGCGCGUUACACCGAUGCAUUCAACGAGCAUAUAACCUUGGCCGAGAGGCCUGGGUAAUCUUGUUAACAUGCAUCGUGAUAGGGAUAGAUUAUUGCAAUUAUUAAUCUUGAACGAGGAAUUCCUAGUAAUCGCAGUUCAUCAAACUGCAAUGAUUACGUCCCUGCCCUUUGUACACACCGCCCGUCGCACCUACCGAUUGAAUGGUCCGGUGAGGACUCGGGAUUGUGGUUUAGCUCCUUCAUUGGGGCCUGACUGCGAGAACUUGUCCGAACCUUAUCAUUUAGAGGAAGGUGAAGUCGUAACA